rnacentral:rRNA from 1 species
GACGAACGCUGGCGGCGUGCUUAACAUAUGCAAGUCGAACGGGCCUUGUCCCCUUUUUUUUUGGGGGUGGGGUUAGUGGCGAACGGGUGAGUAACACGUGAGUAACCUGCCCCUCACUUCUGGAUAACCGCUUGAAAGGGUGGCUAAUACGGGGUGUUCUGGCCUGCUCGCAUGGGUGGGUUUGGAAAGAUUCGACCGGUUUUGGUUGUUUUGGUGGGGGAUGGGCUCGCGGCCUAUCAGCUUGUUGGUGGGGUGAUGGCCUGCCAAGGCUUUGACGGGUAGCCGGCCUGAGAGGGUGGGCGGUCACACUGGGACUGAGACACGGCCCAGACUCCUACGGGAGGCAGCAGUGGGGAAUAUUGCACAAUGGGCGCAGGCCUGAUGCAGCGACGCCGCGUGAGGGAUGGAGGCCUUCGGGUUGUGAACCUCUUUCGCCAGUGAAGAAGGUCCUGCUCUUUGUGGUGGGGUUGACGGUAGCUGGGUUAAUGAAGCGCCGGCUAACUACGUG